GCCAGCAGCUAUAUCACCCUGCAACUCACAACUGGCAACCCACUGAAGCUAAGAAGGUGUGAGCCUGGUCAUUACCUGGAUGGGAGACCUCCUGGGAAAAACUAAGGUUGCUGCUGGAA
ensembl:rRNA 5S_rRNA 5S ribosomal RNA